AUAAUUUUUAUUGACAUUUUUACCAUAAAUGUUAUAUUUUUAUUUUAUUUACAAGAGUUUUUAAAAGUGCAAAUGAAGACUAUCUAAGAAAUAAGGAAAUAAGCUUAAAAAAUUAGUUUGCAACUUGAGGAUUAAAAAUACCGAAAUAUAAAUAAAAUUACUUAUUUUUUAUAACAUUCUGUUUUUAUUUAAUAGAAGAAAAUAUUAAUGAACUGACUGCAAAAUGGAAAGAGUUGCAUCAUAAAUAUAUUCUUGUAGAUAAAUAUUACAAACAUAUAGAUAAUAAAAUUAGAAGUUACCAAAAAUUAGAUGAUGAACUUUGCAAAAAGAUUUCAAGUUUGAGAAAUAAAGCAAGAAGUAAUUACUCAGCUAUUGAAUCUGAAAAACAAGAAUUUAGUGAAAAAGAAGAUAAUGUGACUGUGAAGUCUACAGUUGAUUUUAUUGAAAAUUAUCUAAUAAAUUCUAUUAGAACAGAAUCAGAUAAUGAAUCUACAAAACAGUAAGUAUAUAUUGU